rnacentral:rRNA from 1 species
GAUCAACGCUGGCGGCGUGCUUAACACAUGCAAGUCGAACGAAGUUUUUCUUUCGGGAGGAACUUAGUGGCGGACGGGUGAGUAACGCGUGGGUAACCUGCCCUGUACAGGGGGACAACAGCUGGAAACGGCUGCUAAUACCGCAUAAGCCCUUAGCACUGCAUGGUGCAUAGGGAAAAGGAGCAAUCCGGUACAGGAUGGACCCGCGUCUGAUUAGCCAGUUGGCAGGGUAACGGCCUACCAAAGCGACGAUCAGUAGCCGAUCUGAGAGGAUGUACGGCCACAUUGGGACUGAGACACGGCCCAGACUCCUACGGGAGGCAGCAGUGGGGAAUAUUGCACAAUGGAGGAAACUCUGAUGCAGCGACGCCGCGUGAGUGAAGAAGUAUUUCGGUAUGUAAAGCUCUAUCAGCAGGAAAGAAAAUGACGGUACCUGACGAAGAAGCACCGGCUAAAUACGUG